rfam:Flammeovirga sp. SJP92 Scaffold4_4, whole genome shotgun sequence.
GGGGUCGACUGGUUUUGACAGGCUGAGAUUUUGCAAGUAUAAGCAUGCAGGCUCAUGGGAUGAGAGCCUUGAAAGAUAAUUCCAAAAUCUAGUUGGCAACAAUUCGUUUGCUAUGGCUGCCUAGUCUCCCUUAGGGUUGUAGACAUCUGGGCUUAAAUGGUUGAACGCACUUGCGUUCCCGAGCUACAUCGUCCUUUGCCUUGAUCUUUGGGCGAAGAAUCGGCGGUGCCGUAAUCAUUGAUCUAGUCGGAUACCUGCUGUGGGUUGAAGAUGAAGCUUUAAGCAGAUAAGGAUAAGUUUAGGUUGUUUCCGGCUGGGCUUGUCUCGAAAAUUUAAGAGAAACUAAGCAUGUAGAAGGCUUGACGGAGUCCUUCUCUGGACGAGGGUUCGACUCCCUCCGACUCCACUA